rnacentral:rRNA from 1 species
GACGAACGCUGGCGGCGUGCUUAACACAUGCAAGUCGAACGGAAAGGCCCUGCUUGCAGGGUACUCGAGUGGCGAACGGGUGAGUAACACGUGGGUGAUCUGCCCUGCACUUCUGGAUAAGCCUGGGAAACUGGGUCUAAUACCGGAUAGAGGCCAUUUUUCUUGUGAUUGUUGGAAAGAUUUUUCGGUUUGGGAUGAGCUCGCGGCCUAUCAGCUGGUUGGUGGGGUAAUGCCUUACAAAGGCGGCGACGGGUGGCGGGCCUGGAGGGGUGGCCGGCCCAUUGGGGCUGGGAAUAGGCCCCGGCCUCUAAGGGAGGCAGGCGUGGGGAAUAUUGCACAAUUGGCGCAAGGCUGAUGCAGCGAAGGCGCGUGGGGGAUGACGGCCUUCGGGUUGGAAACUCCUUUCGCUAGGGACGAAGCUUUUUGUGACGGUACCUAGAGAAGAAGCACCGGCUAACUACGUG